GUCCUCACUUGCUUUGUUGCAUAUUGUAGCUCCCUAACAAUACUAAUUAUUCUAAGUGAAUCAGCCAACACAUUUAAGGGAACAUUCACAUGGAAUAAUCAGCACAUAUUUAAUUUUGAAUGAUUAAUGCUUCAGGCUCCAUGACAGAGUGGAGUUGGCAGUAUUAUCAAUACAGUUUGUAUUCUUUCAUGUGGUACGUCUAAGUGGAAGUGUGAAGUUUACACCUAGGUAACAACACUUUUU